AAAUGUUAAAAUGAACUCUAAUUUCCGAAAAUACACAUCUUAGACCACGCUUGGUGUCUAUUUGUUUGGAUGUUGGAGAGUUUCUUAGUUAAAUUGAUUGUUAGGUUUUAUUAGGAAAUUUUGAAUUGAUUGAUAGGUUUUAUUAGGAAAUUUUGAAUAAAGUAGAGAUUAUUAGUAACCUUGUUAAUUAAUUAGUUGAAUUUGGUUGUAUGUUUUAAUGUGUAAUUUUAGGUGGUUUUAUAGUUCUUGACAAAAUUACUAACUUUUAUUUUUUGUUUUAUUUUUUAUUUUUGUAGAUUCAUAUUAUGAAGUGAAGCACAAGUUUAUUAGCUAUUCAAGUGGGAAGUUUGAGACAUUACAUCCAUUAUACUUGCUAUAUUGUAUUAUGAAGAAGAUACAUGGUCGUGCUCCACGGGGUCAUACAUGGAAAUCACCUAUGUUUUGCAAGGUGCAAAAGGGAGAUCCGUUAACAAUCAAGGAGCUUAAUGAAGUUCGAGACAUAUUGGCAUUUUUCAUCACCUUCAAUUUGUAAAUGUGGCAUCAUUUUGAAUUUAUACUUUGUUAAUUGUUAACUUUUAAACUACAAUAUUGACUACUUAUUAGUAUUGUUUGUAUUUAUUUAUA